rnacentral:lncRNA from 1 species
UGGAAGGCUAUUGGUUCAGGGAGCCCGUCAGACCGGACUGGAGUGAGCCAUGAUUGGUCGACACAGGCGCAAUCAGGUUAGGUUGCUUACUCCUCCGCUCCUCCCUCCUUUUCCUCCACGCCCCAUCUCCCCCACCCCCUACUGCUUUUACUUUCUACGCAUUUCUAUUUCCUCCUUUAUUUAUUUAUUUGUGAUAAACUUAAAUGACCCGGCGACGGAGGCGGUACUCUAGGAGAAGGCUGAGGAUGACGAGCGGCGGCCUGGGGCCAAUUGCCGAGAGGGCUGCGGGGUGAGGGGCAGCGGCGGUGGCCAGUGAGAGAGUCAAGAAAACUUUGCUUUUGACUUAUUUACAGCUAGUCACAAUUGAGUGAAGUAUACUCCUGUAAACAAAUUUGGAUUUCUCUCUCUCAAUCUGAUUUCUCCAGAAUGUGGAAACUAUUUGACAUGAGACUUCACAACCUGCUAAAAAUGAGCUUUUCUAAUAAUGUGGGACUUACCCUUCUACAAGUAAACCAUCCUAGUCAUGAGGGAUCAGAUGAAACCUGAGACCAGAGACUCAUUUUCUUCUAAAAUGAUUUCUCCAAAGGAUUUUAAAAAGAAAAAGGUUAAAAUGUGAAAGGAAAAUAAAUCUUGGGACCCCCCAAAUCUCUAAGCUAAAGGGAAAAGUCAAGAUGGGAACUGCUUAGGGCAAACCUGCCUCCCAUUCUUUUCAAAGUCAUCCCUCUGCUCACUAAGAUAAAUGCAUAUCUUACUGUUUCCUUUGGAAAGGCUAAUCAGAAACUCAGAAGAAUGAAACCAUUUGGUUUUUCUUUUAUCUACCUAUCACCUGGAAGCACCCUUCCCACUUCAAGUUGUCCUGCCUUUCUGGACUAAACCAAUGUACAUCUUACGUACAUUGAUUGAUAUCUCAUGUCUCCAUAAAAUGUAUAAAACCAAGCUGUGCCCCCACCCCCUUGGGCACAUGUUGUCAGGACCAGGACCUUGUGAGGCUGCAUCAUGGGCACGUGUCCCUGACUUUGGCAAAAUAAACUUUCUGAAUUGACUGAGACCCGUCUUAGAUAUUUGGGGUUCAUACCCGCUUGGUACUGUGUAGUGAAUGAGUUCUCACAAGAUCUGGUUGUUUAAAAGUGUAUGGCACCACCUACCUGUCUCUCUUCUUCCUGCUCUGGCAAUAUAAGACAUGCCUGCUUCUCCUUGGCCUUCCACCAUGACUGUAAGUUUCCUGAGGCCUCUCCAGAAGCCAAGCAGAUGCCAGAAUCAUGCUUCCUGCACAGCCUGUGGAACUGUGAGCCAAUUAAACUUCUUUUAUUUAUAAAUUACCCAGCCUCAGGUAUUGCUUUAUAGCAGUGCAAGAAUAGACUAAUAUAAGUGUUACAGAUAUUGAGUAGGUAAAAAUCAAUAGGAUUUAGCAGUUGGACCUAGAGACGCAGGAACUGGGGAGAUUUUUUUAAAGAGGUGAUUAGAAGAAUAAUAUUGUCAUCAUGGAAAUUAGAAAGUUAGGUUUAUUGGUGAAAAGUUGGUGAAUAAUCUUCUAGAUAUUUUGAGUUUAAUGUACUAAUGAGGAACAAGUGGAGAUCUCCAUCAUGCACUUGGAAAUUUAGGACUGGAGCUGGGAGACAAGUGGGGCCAGAAAUAAAGGUAUGCUCCUUCUGCUCUCAACCCACCAUGGCCGUUUAGUGGGAUCAGUAGAAUCCCUGCAAGUAAGUGUCUGGAUUUAGCAAAAUAGCAUGGAAGAACAAACUGAUGCCAGAACCUACGAACUGACAGCAUUUAAGGGGUGGGAGGGAAAAAGAAAAAAGCAGAUGUGAAAAGAGAUCAGGAAACUUAGGCAAGUCAAAUAAGAGAAAAUUAUUUCAAGUGUGAACUUCCGUAUAUAACGUCUAUGAUUUAGGCCCAGUUUAUAUCAAGAACUUAAGAAAGAAAAUUGGAAAAAUAAAUAGGGCUUUAUGUAUUUUUAGGACUUAUGAUGAUGAUUAUGAUAUAGAAUGAAAUAAAGUGUGGGUCAGGAGCAGUGGCUCACGCCUGUAAUCCCAGCACUUUGGGAGGCUGAGGUGGUGGAUCACAGGUCAAGAGAUCUAAAUCAUCCUGGCCAGCAUGGUGAAACCCAUCUCUACUAA